rnacentral:rRNA from 1 species
GACGAACGCUGGCGGCGUGCUUAACACAUGCAAGUCGAACGGAAAGGCCCUGCUUUUGUGGUGUGCUCGAGUGGCGAACGGGUGAGUAACACGUGAGUAACCUGCCCUUGACUUUGGGAUAACUUCCGGAAACUGGGGCUAAUACCGGAUAGGAGCUCCUGCUGCAUGGUGGGGGUUGGAAAGUUUCGGCGGUUGGGGAUGGACUCGCGGCUUAUCAGCUUGUUGGUGGGGUAGUGGCUUACCAAGGCUUUGACGGGUAGCCGGCCUGAGAGGGUGACCGGCCACAUUGGGACUGAGAUACGGCCCAGACUCCUACGGGAGGCAGCAGUGGGGAAUAUUGCACAAUGGGCGGAAGCCUGAUGCAGCAACGCCGCGUGCGGGAUGACGGCCUUCGGGUUGUAAACCGCUUUCGCCUGUGACGAAGCGUGAGUGACGGUAAUGGGUAAAGAAGCACCGGCUAACUACGUG